AUUGAACGCUGGCGGCAUGCUUUACACAUGCAAGUCGAACGGUAACAGGCCUUCGGGUGCUGACGAGUGGCGAACGGGUGAGUAAUGCAUCGGAACGUACCCAGAGGUGGGGGAUAACGCAGCGAAAGCUGUGCUAAUACCGCAUGUGAUCUGAGGAUGAAAGCGGGGGACCGAGCAGCAAUGUUUGGCCUCGCGCCUUUGGAGCGGCCGAUGUCGGAUUAGCUAGUUGGUGGGGUAAAGGCCUACCAAGGCGACGAUCCGGAGCUGGUCUGAGAGGACGACCAGCCACACUGGGACUGAGACACGGCCCAGACUCCUACGGGAGGCAGCAGUGGGGAAUUUUGGACAAUGGGCGCAAGCCUGAUCCAGCAAUGCCGCGUGCGGGAAGAAGGCCUUCGGGUUGUAAACCGCUUUUGGCAGGAACGAAACGGUGUCCGCUAAUACCGGGCGCUAAUGACGGUACCUGCAGAAUAAGCACCGGCUAACUACGUG
rnacentral:rRNA from 1 species